GACGAACGCUGGCGGCGUGCCUAAUACAUGCAAGUAGAACGCUGAAGGAGGAGCUUGCUUCUCUGGAUGAGUUGCGAACGGGUGAGUAACGCGUAGGUAACCUGCCUGGUAGCGGGGGAUAACUAUUGGAAACGAUAGCUAAUACCGCAUAAUAGUAGAUGUUGCAUGACAUUUGCUUAAAAGGUGCAAUUGCAUCACUACCAGAUGGACCUGCGUUGUAUUAGCUAGUUGGUGGGGUAACGGCUCACCAAGGCGACGAUACAUAGCCGACCUGAGAGGGGGAUCGGCCACACUGGGACUGAGACACGGCCCAGACUCCUACGGGAGGCAGCAGUAGGGAAUCUUCGGCAAUGGACGGAAGUCUGACCGAGCAACGCCGCGUGAGUGAAGAAGGUUUUCGGAUCGUAAAGCUCUGUUGUAAGAGAAGAACGAGUGUGAGAGUGGAAAGUUCACACUGUGACGGUAUCUUAACAGAAAGGGACGGCUAACUACGUG
rnacentral:rRNA from 1 species